GUCGGGAGGGCGGCAGCGAUACAAGACCCUUUGGGGAAAGCUGCCCGCCGUCUGUUUCCGGUUGUUAACCUCCCGACACCCACGA
rnacentral:ncRNA from 15 species